rnacentral:rRNA from 1 species
GACGAACGCUGGCGGCGUGCCUAAUACAUGCAAGUCGAGCGGACAGAAGGGAGCUUGCUCCCGGAAGUUAGCGGCGGACGGGUGAGUAACACGUGGGCAACCUACCCUGUAGAUCGGGAUAACAUCGAGAAAUCGGUGCUAAUACCGGAUAAUCAUUUGAAGUGCAUGCUUCGAACGUAAAAGAUGGCUCCGGCUAUCACUACGGGAUGGGCCCGCGGCGCAUUAGCUAGUUGGUAAGGUAAUGGCUUACCAAGGCAACGAUGCGUAGCCGACCUGAGAGGGUGAUCGGCCACACUGGGACUGAGACACGGCCCAGACUCCUACGGGAGGCAGCAGUAGGGAAUCUUCCGCAAUGGACGAAAGUCUGACGGAGCAACGCCGCGUGAGUGAUGAAGGUUUUCGGAUCGUAAAGCUCUGUUGUUAGGGAAGAACAAGUGCCGUUUGAAUAAGGCGGCACCUUGACGGUACCUAACCAGAAAGCCACGGCUAACUACGUGCCAGCCGCCGCGGUAAUAC